rnacentral:rRNA from 1 species
UACGUAGGGUGCGAGCGUUAAUCGGAAUUACUGGGCGUAAAGCGUGCGCAGGCGGCUUUGCAAGACAGAUGUGAAAUCCCCGGGCUCAACCUGGGAACUGCAUUUGUGACUGCAAGGCUAGAGUACGGCAUAGGGGGAUGGAAUUCCGCGUGUAGCAGUGAAAUGCGUAGAUAUGCGGAGGAACACCAAUGGCGAAGGCAAUCCCCUGGGCCUGUACUGACGCUCAUGCACGAAAGCGUGGGGAGCAAACAGG